rnacentral:tRNA from 1 species
GGUCCUCUGGCGCAACGGUAGCGCGUGUGACUCCAGAUCACAAGGUUAUCCGUUCAAAUCGGGUGGGGAUCA